rnacentral:misc_RNA from 1 species
GAAAUAAACCUGAUGGGUUGUUGCUGGCUCUCUAGGGAGCAUGUGCACACCUUGUCAUCUUUAUAUCUCCACCUGUGCACCUUUUGUAGACAUCUUUCCAGGUGUCUAUGUUGAUUCUUCAUUUACCCCAAUGUAUGUCAAUAGAAUGUUGUGUCCAUAAUAUAUACAACUUUCAGCAAUGGAUCUCUUGGCUCU